rnacentral:rRNA from 1 species
UACGUAGGGGGCGAGCGUUGUCCGGAAUUAUUGGGCGUAAAGAGCGUGUAGGCGGUUCGGUAAGUCUGCCGUGAAACCCUGGGGCUCAACCCCGGGCGUGCGGUGGAUACUGCCGGGCUAGAGGGUGGUAGAGGCGAGUGGAAUUCCCGGUGUAGCGGUGAAAUGCGCAGAUAUCAGGAGGAACACCGGUGGCGAAGGCGGAUCUCUGGGCCAUUACUGACGCUGAGGAGCGAAAGCGUGGGGAGCGAACAGG